rnacentral:lncRNA from 1 species
CGGAGCUUCUUUGACCGCGGCGUGAGCGGUUGCUUGGGCCAGAAGGUUCUCUGGUGGAGGUGCUCUUCCUGGUGUCCCGCCCAGUAGGUUCGUUAUCACCGUUUCUUCCACACCCUUUCUCCCUCCUUCUCCUCGCCCCGCCUUCCCCUCUUCUCAACCCCUCUAGUUCUUUCCCCGCCUCACCGCUGUCCACGAUCUCGCGAGACUUGGCCCAGAACAUUGCGGAUCGGGUCGGCGCCAUUUUGGGACUGAGACUGGUUGUGGGGGAGGGAAAAGCGGCAAAAGGGGAUUAUUCAAAGUACCGAAAACCUUCUCCCGGGAUCAGGCGCAUCGACACCCCCAGGCCAGGGGCACCUCUGGUGGGGCAGAAGGUGAAUGAAUUACUCAGAUAUGAAGAUCAUCAUCUAGGUUUUGUGUAGAAGGCCCCGGAUAUUUUAAGUGGCCAUUUUGGAUUUACAAUGUUUUUGGAUAAUUUUGCCCCAGAAGUUUAUUAAAAUUGGCAAGAAUCGUCUAUGAAGUGAAUUGAUAGUAGUGAACAAUUCAGCAAGCUACUUAAAAAGAGACCCAGGCAGCAUUUCUUCAGUAUUUUGGUUCAAACGGAUUAUAUAACCGGUUACAGUAUUUCAGCUGGUGGUAAUUUUUGCCUUCCCCCUCCCCCACCCCGUUGUUGGGAUUCUUCAGCCGAAACUGUGAGAGACGUUGAUUUGUGUACUGAGUAGUUUCAGCAGUUUCAAAUGACUGAGUAUUGCUGAAGUUUCAUGGCGGUUUAUUUUUACUUUUAUUGAAAGUUUUAGGAAUUUUUGACUUCAGCUCUUUCAUGUCACAAUGGGACACUUUUUCUAAAUGAAGACAUUGAAAGAAUACCGAAUUUUUUUCCUUUUAUUUACGUAGAAAUUUAAGAUGUUGCAGUUUCCCGGCAGCAUGGUAGUAUUGAGAUAGCUGUGUGUGUGUCUGUAUAUGCUGAUAUUUAGGAAUGCUCUUCAGAUGUGAAAUUUUCUUUUUGUUUUUGCUUUUUGGCUCGUAAAUUGGAUAUUUCAUCUGGAGUGGACAAGUACAGCAGUGGCAAGUACAUGGAAUAAUAAAGAAGACUGAUCUUAAAUCUAAAGAACUUGG